CCUACGGGAGGCAGCAGUGGGGAAUAUUGCGCAAUGGGCGAAAGCCUGACGCAGCGACGCCGCGUGAGGGAUGAAGGUCUUCGGAUCGUAAACCUCUGUCAGCAGGGAAGAACGGUCACUGUGCUAAUCAGCAGUGAAUUGACGGUACCUGCAAAGGAAGCACCGGCUAACUCCGUGCCAGCAGCCGCGGUAAUACGGAGGGUGCGAGCGUUAAUCGGAAUUACUGGGCGUAAAGCGCUCGUAGGUGGUAUGUCAAGUCAAGGGUGAAAUCCCCGCGCUCAACGUGGGAACUGCCUUUGAAACUGGCAAACUGGAGUGGGUGAGAGGAUAGUGGAAUUCGAGGUGUAGGAGUGAAAUCCGUAGAUAUCUGGAGGAACAUCAGUUGCGAAGGCGACUAGCUGGAACAUAACUGACGCUGAGGAGCGAAAGCGUGGGUAGCAAACAGGAUUAGAUACCCUAGUAGUC
rnacentral:rRNA from 1 species